GUGCCAGCAGCCGCGGUAAUACGGAGGGUGCAAGCGUUAAUCGGAAUUACUGGGCGUAAAGCGCACGCAGGCGGUCUGUCAAGUCGGAUGUGAAAUCCCCGGGCUCAACCCGGGAACUGCAUUCGAAACUGGCAGGCUUGAGUCUCGUAGAGGGGGGUAGAAUUCCAGGUGUAGCGGUGAAAUGCGUAGAGAUCUGGAGGAAUACCGGUGGCGAAGGCCGGCCCCCUGGACGAAGACUGACGCUCAGGUGCGAAAGCGGUGGGGAGCAAACAGGAUUAGAUACCCUGGUAGUCCACGACCGUAAACGAUGUCUA
rnacentral:rRNA from 1 species